CAGUCCCAGCUAAGGUCCCGGUCAGCAGCCAGCAUUGACCACCAGAUGUGUGAAUGAAGAGGCCUUCAGAUGAUUGCAGCCCCUAUUGUUAAGGCAACCCCAACCUCCGAGUCUUCCCAGCAGAGGAUUCAGCUACUAUGGAGUCAAGAUAAGUCAUUCCCACUGUACCCUGUCUGGGGUCCUGACACAUGAAGAUUGGAAGUGGUUUGUCACAUAGCAAUAGUAACUGAAACACUGGGAGAGGGACGUCUUUAAGAGGAGAAAUUAAGUUCCCAAUGAGAUUUUAAAGAUGUACUAAUGAAACAAUCAAGUAGAGAUAUCAAGUAGUUAGUUGGACAUGUGAGCGUAAGCAGACUUCUUGGCUGGAGAUAUACUAAUGGCAAACAGCAUAUGGAUGUCAUUUAAUUUCCCAGGCCUGGGUGAGAUCACCUACAGCAGGAGGUGGACAGAGAAGAGGAGCUGGUUCAAGACCUCAUUCUGAGGAAGCCCAGUAUUUAGAGAAGUACAUGCUUUUUCUUAAAGAAGUUUCUAAAAACUGAAUAUUCAUUAGGUCCCACAAAAUCUGGUGUUCCCAUAGUUGGAGGACUUCUGGAACUGGUGAGCAGUCCAUCAGAUGGGAUUUCGGAUGUUGGAAUCAUGAGGCUUUUGUUUAAGAGUUGCUUAAGAUGUUCUUCAGAUCCUGAAUUCCAGCAGAACAGCUGACAUCCACAACCAGUUUGAGGAUCCCCACAGAAGAGCUGAAUCAACAUGAGAAUGCAGUUUCUUCAUCUCUCCAGUCCAUGACUUCACCCUGCAAUCCCCACAGAAGAGCUGAAUCAACAUGAGAAUGCAGUUUCUUCAUCUCUCCAGUCCAUGACUUCACCCUGCAAUCCCCACACCUCAGCCCACUCCAAACCCCUUACAAACUCCUCAGGGAGGCAAAUCUGAGGUUUCCUUCCAUCUCCUUGUUCAGAUGCCCUAUGAUUAUUAAACCCUUUCUCUGCUGCAAUCCUUGAGGUCAGUGUGUCCACUUGCCAUGCUUUAGGUAAGGAACCUGUUACAGUCACACUUCCAUGUCCUCUUCCACGGUGCCACUCUCCCACCACAUCAAUGUUACCAACCCAGAAGCUCUCUAAAUUUCACUGUUCAAGAGUAUUUAUCAAAGCUUUGUUUUGUAGGUGUGUUUGAUCAAAUCAUUGGCCAUUGGUGAUUGAGCUCAAUCUCCAGCCUUUCUCCCCUCCCGGGAGGUUGGAGGGUGGGGUUAAAUGUUCAACCCUCUGAUCCCAUGUUUGGUCUUUCUGGGGACCAGUCCCCAACCUAAAUCUAUCUAAGGCCACCCUGAGUCACCUCAUUAACAUAAACUCUAGUAUGGUCAAAAGGAGCUCAUUAUGAAUAACAAAAGAUACACCUAUCACUCAAGAAAUUCUAAUAAUUUAGGAGCUCUGUGCCAGGAACUGGAGGCAAAUAAAGACCAACUAUAUUAUACCACAACUCAACACCAUUAAUUUGAUUUAUAAAGCUAUGAAGUUAGACAGUGAGACAAACUUUCCUGAACCAUGUACGCAAAGACCACCCCCAAAAUUUCCCCCAAAGUUACUUCCCGAAGAAGCUUUGUCAAAAUUUCCAUUAGAAGUUAUUUUCGGCCAGUGCUUCCAACCCGCUUCCUUAUUUCAAUCAGCAAAUGGGCUCCAUCUGCACUGCCAUGGGCCUUUCUUUACCCAGGCUCUUUUCUCUCCAGUCCCACUGUUGUGUUUUGUCCAAAAUGCAACAUGCGGAAAAGCCUCCUGGGGAGGCUACCUCUCCUCUGAGCAUAGUGAUUUGAACAGAGGACCUUUUGCAAAUUUUUGUCUAG
rnacentral:lncRNA from 10 species